rnacentral:lncRNA from 1 species
AUGCAGCAGGUCAGAGGGAGAAGCUUGGAGACCGUGCGGGCAGCUCACGCCAAGACCCUCUCUGACAUGAUGAUCCCUGCUGGCCCUGUCCUCGAUAAUCUCUGCAACUCAACCCAAAUAGAAACGCCAGGAGGAGCCGACCGUGUGAAGACAAGACAUUCACUCUGCAGAUAUCCUACAAGCUCCUGUGAUCCAGGCUGCACAGACCUCAAAACUGUACUCGAAGGCUGGGGAUACAGCUCAGUGGCACAAGUGCCUACCUGGCAAGUACAAGGUCCUGAGUUCGAUUUCCAGUAAACCCCACCCACCCACCAAAAAGAAAACCUGUACUGGAAAUCUGCCUUACUAUUUAAUAAAAAGUUACUCUAUAGAGUUUUAAGGAAAUGAAAUUACAGGGCAUAUAUUAGAUUUUAUAUAUAUUUUAUGUUUUUACAGAUAUUAUAUAGUUGCCCUCCAGAAAAC